rnacentral:rRNA from 1 species
GACGAACGCUGGCGGCGUGCUUAACACAUGCAAGUCGAACGAAGAGCGAUGGAAGCUUGCUCCUAUCAAUCUUAGUGGCGAACGGGUGAGUAACGCGUAAUCAACCUGCCCUUCAGAGGGGGACAACAGUUGGAAACGACUGCUAAUACCGCAUACGAUCUAAUCUCGGCAUCGAGGAUAGAUGAAAGGUGGCCUCUACAUGUAAGCUAUCACUGAAGGAGGGGAUUGCGUCUGAUUAGCUAGUUGGAGGGGUAACGGCCCACCAAGGCGAUGAUCAGUAGCCGGUCUGCGAGGAUGAACGGCCACAUUGGGACUGAGACACGGCCUAGACUCCUACGGGAGGCAGCAGUGGGGAAUCUUCCGCAAUGGACGAAAGUCUGACGGAGCAACGCCGCGUGAGUGAUGACGGCCUUCGGGUUGUAAAGCUCUGUUAAUCGGGACGAAAGGCCUUCUUGCGAAUAGUGAGAAGGAUUGACG